UGAGGAAUAUUGGUCAAUGGACGAGAGUCUGAACCAGCCAAGUAGCGUGCAGGCUGACGGCCCUAUGGGUUGUAAACUGCUUUUGUUUGGGAAUAAUCGACAUUACGUGUAAUGUUUUGCAUGUACCAUUCGAAUAAGGACCGGCUAAUUCCGUGCCAGCAGCCGCGGUAAUACGGAAGGUCCAGGCGUUAUCCGGAUUUAUUGGGUUUAAAGGGAGUGUAGGCGGUUGGUUAAGCGUGUUGUGAAAUGUAGAUGCUCAACAUCUGACUUGCAGCGCGAACUGGCUGACUUGAGUACACACAACGUAGGCGGAAUUCAUGGUGUAGCGGUGAAAUGCUUAGAUAUCAUGAAGAACUCCGAUUGCGAAGGCAGCUUACGGGAGUGUUACUGACGCUUAAGCUCGAAGGUGCGGGUAUCGAACAGG
rnacentral:rRNA from 1 species